GACAGAGGUGCCGAGCGUUAGGCGGAAUCACUGGGCUUAAAGCGUGUGUAGGCGGAUCGUUAAGUGCCUUGUGAAAUCCCACGGCUCAACCGUGGAACUGCUUGGCAUACUGGCGAUCUUGAGCCACUUAGGGGCUACCGGAACAAAUGGUGGAGCGGUGAAAUGCGUAGAUAUCGAGAGGAACACCUGCGGCGAAGGCGGGUUGCUGGGCCGACACUGACGCUGAUGCGCGAAAGCCAGGGGAGCGAACGGG
rnacentral:rRNA from 1 species